GCAUGGCCUGUUCCUGCUUUCUGUUUUCCCCAGGUGGCUUUGUGCUUCCCAAGGAGUGCGUGGACCUUUCUGAUGGGAGUGAGCAGCAAGGAACCGACUGAAUCAUAGAAUCACAAGGUUGGAAACAGCCUAUCACAUCCCAGGUGCUGUCUGUCUGUCUGUGGUAGGUUCCAGAGCAAGGAGGCCUCUCCGUGCCAUCGCUGCACAUUGAUUUCAGCCUGUGGCACCCACACUGGGACACAUGGAUGCUCCAGGAAACAGCUGUGAACCCUGGGGCUGGAAUAAAGAUGCCAAAAACAGUGUAGA